GUUAGCGUCAUCGGCGAUGGUCCUUCCGCCAGGAAGGUGAAAAGGGAAGCCGGUGCGAUAACCUCAACGCCGGCGCUGCCCCCGCAACUGUAAGCGACGAGCCCGCGCCGGUGCCACUGGGAUUUCCCGGGAAGGCGGCUACGGGCAGUGACUCGCGAGCCAGGAGACCUGCCAUCACGAACUGUGCUUU
rnacentral:ncRNA from 1 species